CUAGCCAGGUUGCUCCCCAGGGAUUGGAGUUGGUGCAUUCUAUUUGUGUAACAGUGAUAGAUCCAAUGCCUGGGGUCAUAAUCAUGUUUCAAUCACCAAAAACACAAGGGUUUUUAAAGUGCCAAAUGAAUCUAGCUCUAAUCUGUUGGAAAGUCAUUUUGAUUUCUCUCUCUUUUUUCCCAGCAAGCAAGAACUAUUCAAGAACUCAUUCUGCUUCUUUGUACUGCCACACCUUGUAAAUCCUCCGUUUGUUAGCUACGUCAUUCCAGCCGGAUCAUGGAUGGAGUAAAAAUCAUGGCCAAGUAUGAACUUCAAAAGCAUACCUUGGAGCAAUUACAAGAGCCAGGCAAGAAGGAGGCUUAGGAUUGAGUGACUGGAUUCCCUUUAUAUAAGUAGACUAUCAUACAGUCAUCAGCCAGAAGAACUAAAUGAGCUCAUGAAACAUGGAAAUUAGACUAAUGCAUCAGGGACCAGUUCCAUGACGAGAUCAGAGAGAUGUUUGGUUGUCCCACACAGAUCUUAGGUCAGCCAGCAACAUCUUCCCGAUCAGACCACUAACUCAAAACUCAGCAAGCUUGGAGGAAUAGUUUGAGAA